rnacentral:rRNA from 1 species
UACGAAGGGGGCUAGCGUUGCUCGGAAUCACUGGGCGUAAAGGGUGCGUAGGCGGGUCUUUAAGUCAGGGGUGAAAUCCUGGAGCUCAACUCCAGAACUGCCUUUGAUACUGAGGAUCUUGAGUUCGGGAGAGGUGAGUGGAACUGCGAGUGUAGAGGUGAAAUUCGUAGAUAUUCGCAAGAACACCAGUGGCGAAGGCGGCUCACUGGCCCGUACUGACGCUGAGGCACGAAAGCGUGGGGAGCAAACAGGAUUAGAAACCC